rnacentral:rRNA from 1 species
AGCGAACGCUGGCGGCAGGCCUAACACAUGCAAGUCGAACGAUCCUUCGGGAUAGUGGCGGACGGGUGAGUAACACGUGGGAACGUGCCCUUUGGUUCGGAAUAACUCAGGGAAACUUGUGCUAAUACCGAAUGUGCCCUUCGGGGGAAAGAUUUAUCGCCUUUAGAGCGGCCCGCGUCUGAUUAGCUAGUUGGUGAGGUAAAGGCUCACCAAGGCGACGAUCAGUAGCUGGUCUGAGAGGAUGAUCAGCCACAUUGGGACUGAGACACGGCCCAAACUCCUACGGGAGGCAGCAGUGGGGAAUCUUGCGCAAUGGGCGAAAGCCUGACGCAGCCAUGCCGCGUGAAUGAUGAAGGUCUUAGGAUUGUAAAAUUCUUUCACCGGGGACGAUAAUGACGGUACCCGGAGAAGAAGCCCCGGCUAACUUCGUGCCAGCCGCCGCAGUAACAC